CACGUAGGGUGCGAGCGUUGUCCGGAAUUAUUGGGCGUAAAGAGCUCGUAGGCGGUGUGUCGCGUCGGCCGUGAAAACCUGCAGCUUAACUGUGGGCUUGCGGUCGAUACGGGCAUCACUGGAGUUCGGCAGGGGAGACUGGAAUUCCUGGUGUAGCGGUGAAAUGCGCAGAUAUCAGGAGGAACACCGGUGGCGAAGGCGGGUCUCUGGGCCGGAUACUGACGCU
rnacentral:rRNA from 1 species